GCUAGUUUUAAUUAGAAAGCGAUAAUCAGUUUCAAAUUUAAAAUCUUCUUAAACAGAACAAACGUGAAGGAUAUUGAUUAAAGAUGAAUGUUAUUAUUGUAGUAGCUUGUUUGGCGAGUUUGUUUAUGGUAGUGAACGGUCAGGGUGCGUCUGCAUCAGCACCCGGGCAAAGUAACCGUGGGGGAGGAAAUAGCAAUGACAUGAUGAACAUGAUGAGCAUGUACGGGCGUGGGCGUGGAGCUAUGAUGAGUGGAGGUGCCGGGGGUGGUCUUGCUGCAUUGAUGGGAGGUGGAUCUGGCUCAAGUGGUGGAAUGGGUGCAGGAUUGGGAGGCAUGGGUGGAUUGGGAAGCAUGGGUGGAAUGGGUGGUGCAAUGCUCUUCGGUGGAAUGGACGCUAAUAAUAUGUUCCCAUUCAUGGCGUGUCUACAAUACUUGCCAUCGUUUCUCUGUAUGAGCACGUACAUCAAUUGAUAGCAAAACAAAACGAUUGACAGAAGUUGGGAUGGACAUAAUGUAUAAAAUGCAUAGACUUCAUGUUAUCUUUUCGAGAAAAUGGAAAUAAUUUUCGUGAAUAAAAAGGGAAGCAAAAUGUAGACCCAGACAUAAUAUGAUUUGUAUAACGUCCUGCAUUUGCAGUGGAAUUUAUAAUAAGAUGGUAUGCGUUUUGUGUACUAUGAUUUCCGGAAGUUACAUUAUGAAAGCGUUUAAUAACAGCGAUUACAUCAUUUAAAGCGUUUGUUCCCACACUUUUGUUUUAAAAUGUAUUUGUAUUUGUUUUGUUUAUUACAGUUAAUAUGCAGGACAUGUUUAGGAUGCGCAUGUGCCGUGGUCUUGGAAUGCCAUUACUGGUUUUUUCAUGUAUAAAUAAUAUUUUGAAUUAACAACCUUGGAGUCGCCAUUUGGGAUAUUUUACCUGCUUCAUCAGACAUUUGAAAAAAUAAACAUUUGCUACAUAAGUAUGAACUUCUAUCGAAAUCUUGUUUGAUUUGUCAACACUGGAAGAAUAUUUUAACCCGGCACAAGGAGACAUUGGUGAAAGUAAAGCGCUGUUGACAAAGUAAUUUAUCUUCAGAUGAACAAGUUAUGUUCAGUGGACAAACAACAUUAACAACAAGAACAAAUUGCUUAAGUACGUUUAACACCACUAUAUGUCUAAAUUUAAACUUGCGACACUACCAACAAUGCAUUUGUUUAUAAAUCAAUCAUUUUUUCAACAAAAAGUUUACGCGGCACAAUGAAGGACUCUAAUGAACAAAACCGUAAUAUAGCCAAUAUCAAAGAUUAUAUUAUAUAUACAUUUUUGAUAUUUUUCUCACAAAAUUUAUGUUUUAUUCUAAAAUAAAUGAAAAGGAAAUCUCGCCUAGUGUAUACAUCAAAUGUUGUCAGCGGUUGUCAAAGUUGGUAGUAGCGUGACGAAUUCCGACAGGAAGAUAUCUUGCAGCAGACGAUAAAUGGCACUCUUUAAAUAUUUGACAGCCGCUUGGCAAUUCUGAGGUGAUGAUAUUUUCUGAUUUAUACAAAACUGAGAAUACUUUAAAUGCGUGUAUGAUUCAGUCCAAUUAUCAUAAUGUAAAUGUUUUAACUGUUUGGUUUAUAAAAAUAACUUUCAAAACGAGGCUUUGUUAUUUUUUGUUCUGUCGUAUAGUUGGUCUCAAAACACAUCUAAUUCUAAUAAGGUUGCACGUCUUAUUAACUUUGGUGUUUAUGAACUAGAAAUAUAAAGUAAAAGAUGUUUUGAAUUUAAAUGUGGUUGAUCGAUUGAUACUAUGGAAAAUGUUAUUAGACCGGAAGUUGAAAACUGAAGGCUGUAUAUACACUUGUUAAAACGUGAAUUGUGACUGAAAUAUACUUCAUGAUAUAGAAAAAGAAAGACAAAACAGUCCUAUAUUUUUAAAACACUCUGUAGUCUGAAGUGAUUAACUAAUAUAUGUCAAAUUAAAAAUAAAAACGACACUGGCUAUGAAAUGACAUGUGUUGCAGAGUUUCUUGUGGAAUAUUUGCUAUUUCCGUACCUUGAUUGUAGUGCCAAAAUUUACGUACAGGAUUAUCGUUCAUGUGUCUUUUAAACUUGGAAUCGAAGCCGAUACGUUUGAGAUUGCGCAAAUAGAUACCGGAAAUAGAAACGGAGUGUAGCGGACAAAAACAUAAAAGCAGAAAGCCUUGAAGAAACAACUGUUACGUUUACAAUGUUCAGAUACACAAAUGCAUCUUAAAUAUCUAAAUGCGGUAAAUUAAAACAAUUACAUAUAUACAUGCAUGCGAUUUAGAACAGACUUCCACUUCUUCAAUUUGUGAUGUCAGAAUAAUAAAUGGUAAUAAGUGUCCGUCUCACACACUCAUUUGUCAAAUUUAGCUAAUGUGUGUGUAGCAAGUUCAAAUAAUUCAAUGUUCAUAAAAGUUCUUCUUUUCAAAUCCAACAUUUAAUUAGUAUUUAGACAAUAAAACUGUACUUAUUUAUUCUAAAAUGUGAAUCAAGCGUGAUUUUAUCAUACAAUUAACAAUAUAUCAUCGCGCUUAAUUGUAAUUACUUAAGUAACGAAAGAAUAGGUUCUGUGUUCUGACUUUAACUAAUUUAAAUUUCUUACGACAUUUUACGGCGGUUUUCGAAGCAUGACCACAGACUGACAGUCAAAAUUUACAUUCUUCAUCAUCAUGGGCACUAGUCACUUUUUCUCCGUUGAAGCUUUAACACUGUAAUUUUGUAGCUCUUACAGAAGACAGUGUAAUAAAGAUUACUAGAUCUAGGAAGAAAAGGGACUCGUACUUACCGAAUUGUGUGUAAAAAAGGCAUUGCAGUACCACCUUGUUUUAAUUUGAAAACGAUAUAAUCAGUUUAAAAUUUAAAAUCUUCUUAAACAAAACAAACGUGAAGGAUAUUGAUUAAAGAUGAAUGUUCUAAUUGUAGUAGCUUGUUUGGCGAGUUUGUUUAUGGUAGUGAACGGUCAGGGUGCGUCCGCAUCAGCACCCGGGCAAAGUAACCGUGGGUCAUCAGGUAGAGGAAAUACCAAUGACAUGAUGAACAUGAUGAGCAUGUAUGGGCGUGGGCGUGGAGCUAUGAUGAGUGGGGGUGCCGGUGGUGGUCUUGCUGCAUUGAUGGGAGGUGGAUCUGGCUCAAGUGGUGGAAUGGGCGCAGGAAUGGGCGGCAUGGGUGGAUUGGGGAGCAUGGGUGGAAUGGGUGGUGCAAUGCUCUUCGGAAUGAAUAUGCAGGACAUGAUAAUGAUGCGCAUGUGCAGCGGUAUACAAAUUCCAUUAUUGAGGUUUCGAUGUAUAGAUAAUAUUAUAAAUUAAAAACCUUGGAGACGCCAUUUUGGAUAUUUUACCUGUUUCAUCAGACAUUUGAAAAAAUAAACAUUUGCUACAUUAGUAUGAACUUCUAUCGAACUCUUGUUUGAUUUGUCAACACUGGAAGAAUAUUUUAACCCGGCACAUGUAUUAAGAAGACGUUGGUGAAAGUAAAGCGCUGUUGACCAAAUAAUUUAUCUUCAAAUGAACAAGUUAUGUUCAGUGGACAAACAACAUUAACAACAAGAACAAAUUGCUUUUUUAUUAUAAGUAGGUUUCACACCACUAUAUGUCUAAAUUCAAACUUACGACACUACCAACAAUGUAUUUAUUUAUAAAUCAAUCAUUUUUUAAACAAACAGUUAACGCGGUACAGUGCAGGACUCUAAUGAACAAAACCGUAAUAUAGCCAAUAUCAAAGAUUAUAUCAUCAAAAUUUAUGUUUUAUUCUAAAAUAAAUGAAAAGGAAAUCGCGCCUAGUGUAUACAUUCAAAUGUUGUCAGCGGUUGUCAAAAGUUGGUAGUAGCGUGUCGAAUUCCGACAGGAAGAUAUCUUGCAGCAGACGAUAAAUGGCAGUCUUUAAAUAUUUGACAGCCGCUUGGCAGUUCUGAGGUGAUGAUAUUUUCUGAUUUAUGCAAAACUGAGAAUACUUUAAAUGCGUGUAUGAUUCAGUCCAAUUAUCAUAAUGUAAAUGUUUUAACUGUUUGGUUUAUAAAAAUAAGUUCCAAAACGA